CCUACGGGAGGCAGCAGUGAGGAAUAUUGGUCAAUGGGCGGAAGCCUGAACCAGCCAAGUAGCGUGCAGGAUGACGGCCCUACGGGUUGUAAACUGCUUUUAUACGGGAAUAACGCGCCUUACGUGUAGGGCUUUGCAUGUACCGUAUGAAUAAGGACCGGCUAAUUCCGUGCCAGCAGCCGCGGUAAUACGGAAGGUCCGGGCGUUUUCCGGAUUUAUUGGGUUUUAAGGGGGCGUAGGCCGCAUGUCAAGCGUGCUGUGAAAUGUCCGGGCUCACCCCGAGGCUUGCAGCGCGGACUGGCUUGCUUGAGUCCGCGGAAAGCAGGCGGAAUUCGUCGUGUAGCGGUGAAAUGCUUAGAUAUGACGAAGAACCCCGAUUGCGAAGGCAGCUUGCUGCAGCGGAACUGACGCUGAUGCUCGAAAGCGCGGGUAUCGAACAGGAUUAGAUACCCGGGUAGUC
rnacentral:rRNA from 1 species